GAUGAACGCUGGCGGCGUGCCUAAUACAUGCAAGUCGAGCGAACGGACGCGAAGCUUGCUUCUCUGAUGUUAGCGGCGGACGGGUGAGUAACACGUGGAUAACCUACCUAUAAGACUGGGAUAACCUCGGGAAACCGGAGCUAAUACCGGAUAAUAUUUUGAACCGCAUGGUUCAAAAGUGAAAGACGGUCUUGCUGUCACUUAUAGAUGGAUCCGCGCUGCAUUAGCUAGUUGGUAAGGUAACGGCUUACCAAGGCAACGAUGCAUAGGCGACCUGAGGGGGUGAGCGGCCACACUGGAACUGAGACACGGUCCAGACUCCUACGGGAGGCAGCAGUAGGGAAUCUUCCGCAAUGGGCGAAAGCCUGACGGAGCAACGCCGCGUGAGUGAUGAAGGUCGUCGGAUCGUAAAACUCUGUUAUUGGGGAGGAACAUAUGUGUAAGUAACUGUGCGCAUCUUGACGGUACCUGGGCAGAAAGCCACGGCUAACUACGUG
rnacentral:rRNA from 1 species